rnacentral:rRNA from 1 species
GAUGAACGCUGGCGGCGUGCUUAACACAUGCAAGUCGAACGGGGAUUAUUUCAUUGAAGCUUCGGCAGAUUUGGCUUAAUCCUAGUGGCGGACGGGUGAGUAACGCGUGGGUAACCUGCCUUGUACAGGGGGAUAACAGUCAGAAAUGACUGCUAAUACCGCAUAAGCGCACAGGACCGCAUGGUCCGGUGUGAAAAACUCCGGUGGUAUAAGAUGGACCCGCGUUGGAUUAGCUAGUUGGCAGGGUAACGGCCUACCAAGGCGACGAUCCAUAGCCGGCCUGAGAGGGUGAACGGCCACAUUGGGACUGAGACACGGCCCAGACUCCUACGGGAGGCAGCAGUGGGGAAUAUUGCACAAUGGGGGAAACCCUGAUGCAGCGACGCCGCGUGAAGGAAGAAGUAUCUCGGUAUGUAAACUUCUAUCAGCAGGGAAGAAAAUGACGGUACCUGACUAAGAAGCCCCGGCUA